AUGAAUGAACUGACUGAGCGUGCUCCUUGGAGCCGCUCUGGUCUCAACACCUUGUGAAUUGUGAAUGUCUUUGGCAAGUGAUGCAGUUCGAGUAAUCGAAAAGCAGAGUUUCGCUCGGUUUGAGCGAAAGCUUGCCUAUGAAUUUUAAACUAUUGUCUUUUGAGCCUGACCAAUUUUUAUCAGAGAAAUACUGAAA
rnacentral:misc_RNA from 1 species